GACAUCACGCAAUGGUGGUUUCGGUGGUUUCCAUUGCGAAUUUUGACAAAAUCUUGCUAAUUUUCGAUUCCUCCCGCCUUGUAGUCCGCCCCAAACAUUUAUCGACUGGCACUAGGAAAAUGUCUGCUCUGAGAUCUCUCGUUGGCACAGCUACUCGGUGUUUCACCAGCAUGUAUGCCGGAGUCGCAGCGCAGCCGUGCCAACUGCUUCAGCGGUUUCUGCCACUGGAAUCUCGGCAGGUGCGCGGGCUGAUGCGACACUUCUUCCCACGGCCAAGCGAGCACAGGCGGAUCCACAGGCACGGCUUGAAGAAGCGGCUGUCCACGCCAGGGGGAAAGAGGGUGCUAUUCCGCCGGAUCCUCAAGGGCCGACACGUCUUGGCACACUAGCGCAUCUUUCUAGUCCAAUUAAAUAGGUCAUCUCAACCACAACUGUCUGCUCUUUUUUUUUUUCUUGCUCCCAAUAUAAAAAUUUACAUUGUUAA